AAGUCUUAGAUCAUCAGCAAGUUUUGUGAGAUAAACAUACACGGAGAAUAUGGCAACCAAUAGUCGUAAGAGUGUGAUUAUGGUAGUAGUCAUACUAGUUCUAGUCAUACAGCAGGCCCAGGUAGAAGCCAAGAGCUGUUGUUGUUCCACCUCGGGAAGAAACUGCUAUAACGCAUGCCGUGUCACGGGUGCCUCUCGCAAAACAUGUGCAAGCUUGUGUGGUUGCAAAAUUCUUGACAAGUGUGUGCGUCCUUGUGAUCGCUUCAAUCUUUACCCGAAAGCAGACGAAGCAAAAGUCAUUGAGUAUUGCAAGUUGGGAUGCACGUCCUCCGUCUGCAACACCACAAACACUUUCAUCGUCGGUGAACAAGAGAAAGAUGUCAUAGAGAAUUGCACAACUGGAUGCGAUCGUGUCUGUACCAAGGACGUUGAAUUUGCCGCAGCUAUUGCAUAAGAAAGUCUAUGCGCCGGGAUUUCAUGCCGAGAUAGUCGAAAUGUCGUUGAGUAAUUCGACAUCAUGUCCUAUCCAGUACCGUGUAAUCUUAUUUUUGUUUCUUUGCAUCUAUCGAAAAGGUGUGAUAGCUCCCGCGGUUCCAUUCCUUUCCAUAUAUUUCCAGUAAGGGUUUCGAUGGUGUGCCAUUUCCUUGCGAAAAUGUGCUCGUCAUUUUGUAAUAAUUGGAUACAGUAUCCAAUAAAAUGUGUCAACUUAUUGUGUUU